CUAUUGACCCUAACAAAACAACACCGGAGACUCCAUAGACGAUCACAAACAUUAUCAUUGAGUUCCACUUAAUCAUCGAAAUAGUUCCAUAUUUCCAGUAUU